CGGUAUGCUGACGAGUGGCGAACGGGUGAGUAAUACAUCGGAACGUGCCCGAUCGUGGGGGAUAACGAAGCGAAAGCUUUGCUAAUACCGCAUACGAUCUACGGAUGAAAGCAGGGGACCGCAAGGCCUUGCGCGAACGGAGCGGCCGAUGGCAGAUUAGGUAGUUGGUGGGAUAAAAGCUUACCAAGCCGACGAUCUGUAGCUGGUCUGAGAGGACGACCAGCCACACUGGGACUGAGACACGGCCCAGACUCCUACGGGAGGCAGCAGUGGGGAAUUUUGGACAAUGGGCGAAAGCCUGAUCCAGCCAUGCCGCGUGCAGGAUGAAGGCCUUCGGGUUGUAAACUGCUUUUGUACGGAACGAAA
rnacentral:rRNA from 1 species